UACGUAGGGUGCGAGCGUCAAUCGGAAUUACUGGGCGUAAAGCGUGCGCAGGCGGUUUUGUAAGUCUGUCGUGAAAUCCCCGGGCUUAACCUGGGAAUGGCGAUGGAGACUGCAAGGCUAGAAUCUGGCAGAGGGGGGUAGAAUUCCACGUGUAGCAGUGAAAUGCGUAGAGAUGUGGAGGAACACCGAUGGCGAAGGCAGCCCCCUGGGCUAAGAUUGACGCUCAUGCACGAAAGCGUGGGGAGCAAACAGG
rnacentral:rRNA from 1 species